GAUGAAGAACGCAGUGAAAUGCGAUACUUGGUGUGAAUUGCAGAAUCCCGUGAACCAUCGAGUCUUUGAACGCAAGUUGCGCCCGAAGCCAUUAGGCCGAGGGCACGCCUGCCUGGGCGUCACACGUCGUUGCCCCCCCAUCUACUCCUUCGGGAUUGCGGGGGGCGGAUGAUGGCCUCCCGUGCGCCUCGCCGCGCGGUUGGCAUAAAUGCCAAGUCCUCGGCGACGCACGCCACGACAAUCGGUGGUUGCGAAACCUCGGUUGCCCGUCGUGUGCGGUCGUCGCGCAUCGAGGGCUCGAAAAAAUUGUCGGGCUCCGGCUCGGCUUUCAACGCGACCCCAGGUCAGGCGGGGUUACCCGCUGAAUUUAAGCAUAUCAAUAAGCGGAGGA
rnacentral:misc_RNA from 1 species